AUGGGGAUGCGUUCCAUUAGGUUGUUGGUGAGGUAACGGCCCACCAAGCCUUCGAUGGAUAGGGGUUCUGAGAGGAAGGUCCCCCACAUUGGAACUGAGACACGGUCCAAACUCCUACGGGAGGCAGCAGUGAGGAAUAUUGGUCAAUGGGCGUUAGCCUGAACCAGCCAAGUAGCGUGAAGGAUGAAGGCUCUAUGGGUCGUAAACUUCUUUUAUAUAAGAAUAAAGUGCAGUAUGUAUACUGUUUUGUAUGUAUUAUAUGAAUAAGGAUCGGCUAACUCCGUGCCAGCAGCCGCGGUAAUACGGAGGAUCCGAGCGUUAUCCGGAUUUAUUGGGUUUAAAGGGAGCGUAGGUGGACUGGUAAGUCAGUUGUGAAAGUUUGCGGCUCAACCGUAAAAUUGCAGUUGAUACUGUCAGUCUUGAGUACAGUAGAGGUGGGCGGGAUUCGUGGUGUAGCGGUGAAAUGCUUAGAUAUCACGAAGAACUCCGAUUGCGAAGGCAGCUCACUGGACUGCAACUGACACUGAUGCUCGAAAGUGUGGGUAUCAAACAGGAUUAGAUACCCUGGUAGUCCACACAGUAAACGAUGAAUACUCGCUGUUUGCGAUAUACAGUAAGCGGCC
rnacentral:rRNA from 1 species